UACGUAGGGCGCAAGCGUUAUCCGGAAUUAUUGGGCGUAAAGAGCUCGUAGGCGGUUUGUCGCGUCUGCCGUGAAAGUCCGGGGCUUAACUCCGGAUCUGCGGUGGGUACGGGCAGACUUGAGUGAUGUAGGGGAGACUGGAAUUCCUGGUGUAGCGGUGAAAUGCGCAGAUAUCAGGAGGAACACUGAUGGCGAAGGCAGGUCUCUGGGCAUUAACUGACGCUGAGGAGCGAAAGCAUGGGGAGCGAACAGG
rnacentral:rRNA from 1 species